GGGGAUUUAGCUCAGUGGCAUAAGCACCUGCCUUGUAAGCAGGCAGUCGUAAGUUUGAUCCCUG
rnacentral:tRNA from 1 species